rnacentral:rRNA from 1 species
CCUACGGGGGGCUGCAGUGGGGAAUAUUGCGCAAUGGGCGAAAGCCUGACGCAGCGACGCCGCGUGGGUGAUGAAGGCCUUCGGGUUGUAAAGCCCUGUCGGGUGGAACGAACGAUCUGGCGGCGAAUAACCGCCGGGUGUGACGGUACCACCGAAGGAAGCCCCGGCUCACUACGUGCCAGCAGCCGCGGUAAGACGUAGGGGGCGAGCGUUGUUCGGAUUUACUGGGCGUAAUGGGCGCGUAGGCGGUGAAAGCCCUCGGCUUACCCGAGGUCCCGCAUCCGAUACUGUCUGGCUCGAGUCUAGGAGAGGAAAGCGGAAUUCCCAGUGUAGCGGUGAAAUGCGUAGAUAUUGGGAGGAACACCAGUGGCGAAGGCGGCCACCUGGACAGUAACUGACGCUGAGGCGCGAAAGUGUGGGGAGCAAACAGGAUUAGAUACCCGAGUAGUC